GAUGAACGCUGGCGGCGUGCCUAAUACAUGCAAGUCGAGCGAACAGACGAGGAGCUUGCUCCUCUGACGUUAGCGGCGGACGGGUGAGUAACACGUGGAUAACCUACCUAUAAGACUGGGAUAACUUCGGGAAACCGGAGCUAAUACCGGAUAAUAUAUUGAACCGCAUGGUUCAAUAGUGAAAGACGGUUUUGCUGUCACUUAUAGAUGGAUCCGCGCCGCAUUAGCUAGUUGGUAAGGUAACGGCUUACCAAGGCAACGAUGCGUAGCCGACCUGAGAGGGUGAUCGGCCACCCUGGAACUGAGACACGGUCCAGACUCCUACGGGAGGCAGCAGUAGGGAAUCUUCCGAAAUGGGCGAAAGCUUGACGGAGCAACGCCGCGUGAGUGAUGAAGGUCUUCGGAUCGUAAAACUCUGUUAUUAGGGAAGAACAAAUGUGUAAGUAACUAUGCACGUCUUGACGGUACCUAAUCAGAAAGCCACGGCUAACUACGUG
rnacentral:rRNA from 1 species